rnacentral:tRNA from 1 species
GGGCGAUUAGCUCAGUCUGGUUAGAGCGCUUGCUUGACAUGCAAGAGGUCAGUGGUUCAACUCCACUAUCGCCCACCA